rnacentral:rRNA from 1 species
UACGUAGGGGGCCAGCGUUGUCCGGAUUCAUUGGGCGUAAAGCGCGCGUAGGCGGCCGGGCAGGUCGCCCGUGACAGCCCCCGGCUCAACCGGGGGGGGUCGGGCGAAACCGCCGGGCUGGAGGCCGGUAGGGGGGAGCGGAAUUCCCGGUGUAGUGGUGGAAUGCGUAGAGAUCGGGAGGAACACCCGUGGCGAAGGCGGCUCACUGGUCCAUAACUGACGCUGAGGUGCGAAAGCGUGGGGAGCAAACAGG